GACGAACGCUGGCGGCGUGCUUAACACAUGCAAGUCGAACGGAAAGGCCCUGCUUUUUUGGGGUUCUCGAGUGGCGAACGGGUGAGUAACACGUGAGUAACCUGCCCUUGACUUUGUGAUAACUUCAGGAAACUGGUGCUAAUACCGGAUAGGAGCUCCUGCUGCAUGGUGGGGGUUGGAACGUUUCGGCGGUUGGGGAUGGACUCGCGGCUUAUCAGCUUGUUGGUGGGGUAGUGGCUUACCCAGGCUGCGACGGCUAGCCGGCGUGAGAGGGUGACCGGCGACAAUGGGACUAAGAGACGGACCAGACUGGUACGGGAGGCAGCAGGGGGGAAUAUUGCACAGUGAGCGGGAGCGUGAGGCAGCGACGCCGCGUGCGUAAUGACGGCCUUCGGGUUGUAAACCGCAGUAGCCUGUGACGAAGCGUGAGUGACGGUAAUGGGUAAAGAAGCACCGGCUAACUACGUG
rnacentral:rRNA from 1 species